rnacentral:rRNA from 1 species
UACAGAGGGGGCAAGCGUUGUUCGGAAUUACUGGGCGUAAAGGGCGCGUAGGCGGCUUUGUAAGUUAGAGGUGAAAGCCCGGGGCUCAACUCCGGAACUGCCUUUAAGACUGCAUCGCUUGAAUCCAGGAGAGGUGAGUGGAAUUCCUAGUGUAGAGGUGAAAUUCGUAGAUAUUAGGAAGAGCACCAGUGGCGAAGGCGGCUCACUGGCCCGGUACUGACGCUGAGGCGCGAAAGCGUGGGGAGCAAACAGG